UGGGGAAUAUUGGACAAUGGGCGAAAGCCUGAUCCAGCCAUGCCGCGUGAGUGACGAAGGCCUUAGGGUUGUAAAACUCUUUCGUCGGGGACGAUAAUGACGGUACCCGAAGAAGAAGCUCCGGCUAACUUCGUGCCAGCAGCCGCGGUAAUACGAAGGGGGCUAGCGUUGUUCGGAUUUACUGGGCGUAAAGCGCGUGUAGGCGGACUUGUAAGUUGGGGGUGAAAUCCCGAGGCUCAACCUCGGAACUGCCUCCAAAACUCAAAUCUGGACCUAAGUAGAGGCAAGUGGAAUUGCGAGUGUAGAGGUGAAAUUCGUAGAUAUUCGCAGGAACACCAGUGGCGAAGGCGACUUGCUGGACUUAUGGUGACGCUGAGACGCGAAAGCGUGGGGAGCAAACAGGAUUAGAUACCCGAGUAGUCCCUGAGCGGGCUGGCAAGGCGCAU
rnacentral:rRNA from 1 species